ACUCAAAGGAAUAGACGGGCACCCGCACAAGCGGUGGAGCAUGCUGUUUAAUUCGAAGAUACGCGAAGAACCUUACCUAGACUUGACAUCCCUGGCAAUGCUAUAGAAAUAUAGCGGAGGUUACCCAGGUGACAGGUGGUGCAUGGUUGUCGUCAGCUCGUGUCGUGAGAUGUUUGGUUAAGUCCAAUAACGAGCGCAACCCUUAUCCUUAGUUGCUAACAUUUAGUUGAGAACCCUAAGGAGACUGCCGGUGACAAACCGGAGGAAGGUGGGGAUGACGUCAAAUCAUCAUGCCCCUUACGUCUAGGGCUACAGGCGUGCUACAAUGGCUGGUAUAACGAGACGCAAUACCGCGAGGUGGAGCAAAUCUUUAAAGCCAGUCCCAGUUCGGAUCGGAGUCUGCAACUCGACUCCGUGAAGUUGGAAUCGCUAGUAAUCCCGAAUCAGAAUGUCGGGGUGAAUACGUUCCCGGGUGUUGUACACACCGCCCGU
rnacentral:rRNA from 1 species